rnacentral:piRNA from 1 species
UUAUUGCGCUCUUAAAAAAAG